GAUGAACGCUGGCGGCGUGCCUAAUACAUGCAAGUCGAGCGAACAGACGAGGAGCUUGCUCCUCUGACGUUAGCGGCGGACGGGUGAGUAACACGUGGAUAACCUACCUAUAAGACUGGGAUAACUUCGGGAAACCGGAGCUAAUACCGGAUAAUAUAUUGAACCGCAUGGUUCAAUAGUGAAAGACGGUUUUGCUGUCACUUAUAGAUGGAUCCGCGCCGCAUUAGCUAGUUGGUAAGGUAACGGCUUACCAAGGCAACGAUGCGUAGCCGAACUGAGAGGGUGAUCGGCCACACUGGAACUGAGACACGGUCCAGACUCCUACGGGAGGCAGCAGUAGGGAAUCUUCCGCAAUGGGCGAAAGCCUGACGGAGCAACGCCGCGUGAGUGAUGAAGGUCUUCGGAUCGUAAAACUCUGUUAUUAGGGAAGAACAAAUGUGUAAGUCACUAUGCACGUCUUGACGGUACCUAAUCAGAAAGCCACGGCUAACUACGUG
rnacentral:rRNA from 1 species